AAGUCGUAACAAGGUUGCCGUUGGGGAACCAGCGGCAGGAUCAUUACAAGGAGAAAAGAGCGAUGCUGUGGUUUUUUGAGUACUUUUGGUUUAGGCCAAAAUUAUUUUUUUCGAAAAAAUCGCAAAAAACAUUUUUGAUGCAUUUUUUACGGACACAACUGGCAACGGCGGAUCUCUUGGCUCGU
rnacentral:misc_RNA from 1 species